GACGAACGCUGGCGGCGUGCCUAAUACAUGCAAGUCGAGCGGGCCUCCGGAGGUGCUUGCACCUCCGGAAGGCCAGCGGCGGACGGGUGAGUAACACGUGGGCAACCUGCCUUUGAGACCGGGAUAACACCGGGAAACCGGUGCUAAUACCGGAUACGUCCUCUUUCGCGCCUGCGAGAGGGGAGAAAGACGGUCUUUAAGGCCGUCGCUCAAAGAGGGGCCCGCGGCGCAUUAGCUGGUUGGUGGGGCAAGGGCCUACCAAGGCGACGAUGCGUUGCCGACCUGAGAGGGUGAUCGGCCACACUGGGACUGAGACACGGCCCAGACUCCUGCGGGAGGCAGCAGUAGGGAAUCAUCCGCAAUGGGCGAAAGCCUGACGGUGCAACGCCGCGUGAGUGAGGAAGGUUUUCGGAUCGUAAAGCUCUGUUGUGAGGGAAGAACAGCAUCCGGAGGAAAUGCCGGAGGUUUGCCGGUACCUCACCAGAAAGCCCCGGCUAACUACGUGCCAGCCGCCGCGGUGAGAC
rnacentral:rRNA from 1 species